rnacentral:rRNA from 1 species
UACGGGGGGAGCAAGCGUUGUUCGGAUUUACUGGGCGUAAAGGGCGCGUAGGCGGCACCGCAAGUCGAUUGUGAAAUCUCCGGGCUUAACCCGGAAAGGUCAACCGAUACUGCGGGGCUAGAGUGCAGAAGGGGCAACUGGAAUUCUCGGUGUAGCGGUGAAAUGCGUAGAUAUCGAGAGGAACACCUGCGGCGAAGGCGGGUUGCUGGGCUGACACUGACGCUGAAGUGCGAAAGCCAGGGGAGCGAACGGG